GAUGAAGAACGUAGUGAAAUGCGAUAAGUAAUGCGAAUUGCAGAAUUCAGUGAGUCAUCGAAUCUUUGAACGCACAUUGCGCCCUGUGGUAUUCCGCAGGGCAUGCCUGUUCGAGCGUCAUUUCAACCCUCAAGCCCCGCUUGGUGUUGGGCCCCGCCCGCUGUGGCCGGCCCUAAAGACAGUGGCGGCGCCGCCUGGCCCUCAGCGUAGUACAUCUCUCGCUCCAGGGUCCGGUGGCCGCCUGCCAGAACCCCCCAACUCUGUGGUUGACCUCGGAUCAGGUAGGGAUACCCGCUGAACUUAAGCAUAUCAAAAGCGGAGGA
rnacentral:misc_RNA from 1 species